UCCUACGGGGGGCAGCAGUGAGGAAUAUUGGUCAAUGGACGAGAGUCUGAACCAGCCAAGUAGCGUGAAGGAUGACUGCCCUAUGGGUUGUAAACUUCUUUUAUAUGGGAAUAAAACAGGGUAUGCAUACCCUCUUGUAUGUACCAUAUGAAUAAGGAUCGGCUAACUCCGUGCCAGCAGCCGCGGUAAUACGGAGGAUCCGAGCGUUAUCCGGAUUUAUUGGGUUUAAAGGGUGCGCAGGCGGAAUGUCAAGUCAGCGGUAAAAUUUCGGGGCUCAACCCCGUCGUGCCGUUGAAACUGGCGUU
rnacentral:rRNA from 1 species